GUUAGCUCAGUUGGUAGAGCAGCUGACUCUUAAUCAGCGGGUCGCAGGUUCGAAUCCUGCAC
rnacentral:tRNA from 1 species